rnacentral:rRNA from 1 species
CUCGUAGGCGGCCAACUAAGUCAGACGUGAAAUCCCUCGGCUUAACCGGGGAACUGCGUCUGAUACUGGAUGGCUUGAGGUUGGGAGAGGGAUGCGGAAUUCCAGGUGUAGCGGUGAAAUGCGUAGAUAUCUGGAGGAACACCGGUGGCGAAGGCGGCAUCCUGGACCAAAUCUGACGCUGAGGAGCGAAAGCCAGGGAGCAAACG